rnacentral:rRNA from 1 species
GAUGAACGCUGGCGGCGUGCCUAACACAUGCAAGUCGAGCGAGUGGAGUUCUUUGGAACAAAGCUAGCGGCGGACGGGUGAGUAACACGUGGGCAACCUGCCUCAUAGAGGGGAAUAGCCUCCCGAAAGGGAGAUUAAUACCGCAUAAGAUUGUAGCUUCGCAUGAAGUAGCAAUUAAAGGAGCAAUCCGCUAUGAGAUGGACCCGCGGCGCAUUAGCUAGUUGGUGGGGUAACGGCUUACCAAGGCGACGAUCAGUAGCCGGCCUGAGAGGGUGAACGGCCACAUUGGGACUGAGACACGGCCCAA